AGUUCUGUGAUUAUAUGCCCUAAAUUAGGGCGAUAUACGCUAUUCUGAUUGAUUUACAUGAACAGAAAUCUAUUGAAAAUAUGAGAGCU
rfam:Ricinus communis ctg_1100012352713, whole genome shotgun sequence.